ACUCCCUUAGUAUAAUUAAUACUACUGACUUCCAAUCAGUUGAUUCUGAUAAAAUCUCAGAAAGGAGUA
rnacentral:tRNA from 1 species